UUUGGAUGAACCCACGAAACCAUUAUUGAGGAUUUUUGUGUAAUUUCAGUAGUCAAUAAUGAAACCCCUCACUCUGAGUCUCUGUCUCGCAUUGCACUAUCGCACUAUACGCCGUCACUGAGCUUCUGGUUUUGGUUCCCGUUUUCUCCCUCAUCUUCUUCCUCAUAAAUUACCACUCUCUCCGAUGGAUAUCGAUGAAGAGAAUACUGAGGUAUUGGAAAUAUCAACAAUCAAUCUAAGUGAUACGCAAGGUACAACAAGUGCACCAAGUUCUUCAAAGAGAAAGGCUAAAGGUAUACGAGCAGGUAAGAUAUGUCAAAAGAGAUCCCAUGUUUGAACUUUGUUUGAAGAAUUGCAUGUUGGUCCUGAUGAAAAACAGCAUGCGAAGUGUAAAAACUGUGGGAUAGUUUACGUAUGUGAAAGUAACUGUGGAAUGUAAAACCUUGAAUCAUGGAUUCGUGUAGUAAAAAAACAUCACAUUGAUGUGAAGAAAUCUCAAGUUGGAUUGCGUUCUCCUUAGUUUAACCAUAUUAGUUUUUUUGAGCUAUUGAUUGAGGCUAUAGUAAAGCAUGAUUUGCCUUUUAGGUUUGUUGAAUAUGAGGGCAUUAGAACUUUGUUUAAAUAUUUAUAUCUCAUGAUAUCAAACUGCCAUGUAGAAAUACCGUUAAGGAACAUGUGUUGAGGAUGUUUGCAGAUGAAAAGAUAAGACUUCGAGAUUGGUUAAAUACAAUUAAGGGGAAGAAUUUGUUUGACAUCUGAUCUAUGGUCUUUUGCUGCAACUGAUGAAUAUCUCACAAUCACAACUCACUUUAUUGAUAAAGAAUGGAAAAUGUACAAAAGAAUUUUAAAUUUUUGUCAUAUGCCUCCUCCAUGUACUCGGGUUGCUUUGUCUGAAAAAAUUAAUGCCUUAUUAGUUGAGUGGGGGAUUGAAAAUAAACUGUUUUCCAUUACUUUGGAUAAUGCCUCUACAAAUGAUUGUUUUGUUGAGCUAUUGAAUAAACAAUUAAAUUUUAGAGGUUUUCUAUUCUUGGAUGGAAAGUUCUUCCAUGUUCGUUGUUGUGCUCACAUCCUAAACUUGAUACUCCAAGAUGGACUAAAGGAAAUUGAUUGAUCAGUGACGAAAGUUGGUGAGUGCAUCAAAUAUAUAAAGUGUUUAGAAGGGAGAAAAAAAUAAGUUUUUGGCUUGCGUUGUACAAGUAGGGUUGGCCGGUAGUAAAGGAGGGUUGAGACAAGAUGUGCCUACUAGAUGGAAUUCAACUGCUUGAUAGUGCUAUUUUCUAUAGUCAUGCAUUUCUCAAUUUGGCACUUGUUGAUUCUAAUUUUAGUUCAUGUCCUUCCUUGGAAAAGUGGGAUAAAAUAGAGAAGAUUUCCAAUUUCUUGGGGUAUUUUUAUGAAGUUACUUGCUUAUUUUCCAGAACAAAUUACCCUACAUCAAACUUGUGCUUCUCAAAAGUGUUCAAAGUCCAUUAUUGUAUUCAAGAUGCUAUGGAAGAUUGUGAUGAUUUCAUGAGACGGAUGGGGAAGUUAUAUGAAUUUGUAGUUUGAAAAAUAUUGAUCAAAGUAGAGUUUGAUCCUUGCCAUAGCAGUGAUUCUUGAUUCUCGCUAUAGAUUGCAAUUUGUAGAGUGAGGUUAUGACAAGCUUUAUGGUAAGGAGUCAAGAGAGUUGAAGGAUGUUAGUGGCACAUUGUUUGCACUCUUUGCUUGUUACAUGAAUGAGGUCUCUCAUCUUCUUGUA